rnacentral:rRNA from 1 species
UCGCACGCACGGAGCUUGCUCCGUGAGUGGCGCACGGCUGAGUAUCACGUGGGAACGUGCCCUGGGGUGGGGGAUAACGGUGCGAAAGCGACGCUAAUCCCGCAUACGCUCACUUUGGUGAGGAAAGCAGUAAUGCGCCCGAGGAGCGGCCCGCGGCCCAUCAGGUCGUUGGGGGGGUAAUGGCCUCCCAAGCCGAUGACGGGUAGCUGGUCUGUGAGGACAAUCAGCCAGACUGGGACUGAGACACGGCCCAGACUCCUACGGGAGGCAGCAGCAAGGAAUUUUCGUCAAUGGGCGCAAGCCUGAACGAGCAACGCCGCGUGGUGGAUGACGGCCUUCGGGUUGUAAACACCUUUUGGGGGGGAUGAUGAUGACAGUACCCUCCGAAUCAGGCUCGGCUAACUCUGUGCCAGCAGCCGCGGUAAGACAGAGGAGCCAAGCGUUGUCCGGAUUGACUGGGCGUAAAGCGCACGCAGGCGGGUGCGCGCGUGGGGUGUGAAACCUGGCCGCUUAACGGCCAGCGGCCAUCCCAUACGGCGCGCCUGGAGCCUUGCAGAGGGCGGUGGAAUUGCCGGUGUAGUGGUGAAAUGCGUAGAGAUCGGCAGGAACACCCAGGGAGAAAUCAGCCGCCUGGGCAAGUGCUGACGCUGAGGUGCGAAAGCGUGGGGAGCGAACCGGAUUAGAUACCCGGGUAGUCCACGCGGUAAACGAUGGCCACUCGGCCUUUGAGGACGGAUUUUCCGGCCUUGGGGGCCUCAGCUAACGCGGU